UCCCAUGCUGUGUAAUUUGAUUCAUAACAACACUCUGGGUUGAUUGAAAGCAACCAGAGAGUUAUGAGUCAAAUUACACAGCAUGGGA